rnacentral:sRNA from 1 species
UAUUCUGCCCCACGGGGAAGGAUGAGAAGCUUCGACAAAGGUUCGACUCGAGCGAAGCGAGAGAACGUUGCCGCAGGCAAAGGCCCGAAGGGCGAGGAGCGAUAGCGACGAGUUAUCCUUCCCCCACCACCA